CCCAAAAAGUGCGUCGUAGUCCGGAUUGGAGUCUGCAACUCGACUCCAUGAAGUCGGAAUCGCUAGUAAUCGUGGAUCAGAAUGCCACGGUGAAUACGUUCCCGGGCCUUGUACACACCGCCCGUCACACCAUGGGAGUGGGCUGCAAAAGAAGUAGGUAGUUUAACCUUCGGGGGGACGCUUACCACUUUGUGGUUCAUGAC
rnacentral:rRNA from 1 species